AGCAGCCGCGGUAAUUCCAGCUCCAAUAGCGUAUAUUAAAGUUGUUGCAGUUAAAAAGCUCGUAGUUGAAUUUCGGGGUUAGUAGGUUGGUCAUGCCUCUGGUAUGUACUGGUCUCACUGAUUCCUCCUUCCUGACGAACCUUAAUGCCAUUAAUUUGGUGUUUUGGGGAAUUUGGACUGUUACUUUGAAAAAAUUAGAGUGUUUAAAGCAAGCUAACGCUUGAAUACAUUAGCAUGGAAUAAUGAAAUAGGACGUUCGAUCCUAUUUUGUUGGUUUCUAGGAUUGACGUAAUGAUUAAUAGGGAUAGUUGGGGGCAUUAGUAUUCAAUUGUCAGAGGUGAAAUUCUUGGAUUUAUUGAAGACUAACUACUGCGAAAGCAUUUGCCAAGGAUGUUUUCAUUAAUCAAGAACGAAAGUUAGGGGAUCGAAGACGAUCAGAUACCGUCGUAGUCUUAACCAUAAACUAUGCCGACUAGGGAUCGGAUGAUGUUAAUUUUUUAAUGACUCA
rnacentral:rRNA from 1 species